ACGGUCUGGCUAAAGGCUCCUGUGUUGCUGAACCUGCCCAGCGGCGGGUGCGGUGCGUACCAGGCAGCCCUACCCUGACCCAGAGUAAAUGCCCGGCCUGGGCUUUGAAUUUGCAGUAACAGGUGUGAACAUUCUAGCAGCAGUUUGAUGAUCAUGUAUGAUACUGCAAACACGA